rnacentral:rRNA from 1 species
UACGGGGGGGGGCGAGCGUUGUCCGGAAUUAUUGGGCGUAAAGAGCUUGUAGGCGGUUUGUCGCGUCUGCCGUGAAAAUCCGGGGCUCAACCCCGGACUUGCGGUGGGUACGGGCAGACUAGAGUGUGGUAGGGGAGACUGGAAUUCCUGGUGUAGCGGUGAAAUGCGCAGAUAUCAGGAGGAACACCGAUGGCGAAGGCAGGUCUCUGGGCCACUACUGACGCUGACACGCGAAAGCUAGGGGAGCGAACGGG